AUUGAACGCUGGCGGCAGGCCUAACACAUGCAAGUAGAACGAGUGGCGGACGGGUGAGUAAUGUCUGGGAAACUGCCCGAUGGAGGGGGAUAACUACUGGAAACGGUAGCUAAUACCGCAUACCAUCGGAUGUGCCCAGAUGGGUUUAGCUGUGAGGUGGGGGAACGCCUCCCCUAGGCGACGAUCCCUAGCUGGUCUGAGAGGAUGACCGUCCCCACUGGACCUGAGCCACGGUCCAGACUCCUACGGGAGGAAGCAGUGGGGAAUAUUGCACAAUGGGCGCAAGCCUGAUGCAGCCAUGCCGCGUGUAUGAAGAAGGCCUGCGGGUUGUAAAGUACUUUCAGCGAGGAGGCGUUACUCGCAGAAGAAGCACCGGCUAACUCCGUGCCAGCCGCCGCGGUAAUAC
rnacentral:rRNA from 1 species